rnacentral:rRNA from 1 species
UACGUAGGCAGCGAGCGUUGUUCGGAGUUACUGGGCGUAAAGAGUGCGUAGGCGGUUUUCUAAGUUUGGUGUGAAAUCUCCCGGCUUAACUGGGAGGGUGCGCCGAAAACUGGAAGGCUUGAGUAUGGGAGAGGUAAGCGGAAUUCCUGGUGUAGCGGUGAAAUGCGUAGAUAUCAGGAGGAACACCUGCGAUGUAGACGGCUUACUGGACCAUAACUGACGCUGAGGCACGAAAGCGUGGGUAGCAAACAGG